AGUGGCGCACGGGUGAGUAAUGUAUAGGUAAUAUGCCUCUUACUAAGGGAUAACAAUUGGAAACGAUUGCUAAUACCUUAUACUCCUUGUUAACUUAAGUUAAUAAGGGAAAGAUUUAUUGGUAAGAGAUUAGCCUGUAUUGUAUCAGUUAGUUGGUGGGGUAAUGGCCUACCAAGACUAUGACACAUAACUGGUUUGAGAGGAUGAUCAGUCACACUGGAACUGAGACACGGUCCAGACUCCUACGGGAGGCAGCAGUGGGGAAUAUUGCACAAUGGACGAAAGUCUGAUGCAGCAACGCCGCGUGGAGGAUGACACAUUUCGGUGCGUAAACUCCUUUUAUAUGAGAAGAUAAUGACGGUAUUAUAUGAAUAAGCACCGGCUAACUCCGUGCCAGCAGCCGCGGUAAUACGGGGGGUGCAAGCGUUACUCGGAAUCACUGGGCGUAAAGAGCAUGUAGGCGGAUUAAUAAGUUUGAAGUGAAAUCCUAUAGCUUAACUAUAGAACUGCUUUGAAAACUGUUAAUCUAGAAUGUGGGAGAGGUAGAUGGAAUUUCUGGUGUAGGGGUAAAAUCCGUAGAGAUCAGAAGGAAUACCGAUUGCGAAGGCGAUCUACUGGAACAUUAUUGACGCUGAGAUGCGAAAGCGUGGGGAGCAAACAGGAUUAGAUACCCUGGUAGUCCACGCC
rnacentral:rRNA from 1 species